rnacentral:lncRNA from 1 species
CUUAAAGUAUCUUGACAGAGGUUCAUGGAUUAAAUCCCGGAAAUUGAGAACGGAGAAAUGCAAGAUCCUCCCAUGUAGCUUCCUCUGGCGGCAAGUUUGCCCACUGAACUAACCAUUGUACCGCUGCCCGAUUUCCUUUCUUGAUCAUUCUUCGUUCUAAAAUGGAUAUUGGCUCAGUCAGAAUUCUUCCAUCAUUUGUGUAAUAAGGAGGGUCCCUUGAAGCCACUAUUUGAUCUCCUAUUUUCUUCUUGAGCUGAGACACAUGGAAGACUGGGUGAAUUUUUGAUCUCUCUGGCAAUUUGAGCUCGUAAGCUACUGAACCGAUUUUGUGCACUACCUCGUAAGGUCCGAAAAUCUAGCUGAAAGCUUCAAAUUGCGCUGCAAUGCUACUGAACUUUGUCAGUAAGGCUGCAAUUUCAGGAAGACCCAAUCACCUACUUCAAAUUUCCUCUCACUUCUUCUAUUAUCGGCAAAAUGUUUCAUUCGAUUUUGUGCUCGAAUUAGAUUAUCCUUCAACAUUUUAUCCAUAAGUUGACGCUCCCUCAAUAAGUGAUCCACAAAAUCAACUUUGAUCUGAGCCACCAAUUCAAAUGUGGGCAUUGGAGAUUCAUAGCUGUAGAGAGCCUUAAAAGGAGACAUUCCCAAGGAGCUGUGGAAGUUCGAGUUAAAUUCUGCUUGAGCGAGCCACUUGCUCCAAUCUGUAGGUUUAUGGCCUAUCAUAUAUCUCAAGUAAGUCUCCAAACAACGAUUCAACCUUUCAGAUUGUUCGUCGGUUUGAGGGUGAUAUGCCAAGCUUGGUUUCAAUUGAACCUUAAGACCCUUAAAAAGCUCUCUCCAAAAUGUACUGAUGGAAAUGGGGUCACGGUAUGAUACGAUAGAAGUAGGUAAGCCAUGUAACUUACAUACAUUAUCAAUGAAGACCUGUGCAAUCUGUGAAGCAGUGUAUGGGUAGGUUAAUGCAAAAAAAUAAGAGUACUUGGUGUAUCUAUUGAUUACCACCAGAACUGAAUCUUUUCCUUGUGAUUUUGGCAGACCACUUAUAAAGUCCAUCGCCACAUGUUCCCAAGCUCGAGUAGGAAUGAGAAAUGGUUGUAGCAAGCCUGGGUAAGACACAUUUUCGUCUUUGUUUCUUUGGCAGACCUCACAUUCUCUAAUUUGAUUCUUUACAUCUUGUAAAAUAGCGGGCCAAUAGAAGACAUUCCUGAUGCGUUGUUGAGUAGCUAACCCCCCUGAAUGACCUCCUCAGGAAGAUGUAUGGAACUCUGAAAUGAGUUUCUUCCUUAGCUGACCACUACUCCCGACCCAUAUAUGACCUUGAUGCCUGAUGACACCUUGUUGAUAUUGAACAUCUAGUAUUGAAUUUGGGUCAAUAGAAAGCUUAGCGAUGAGGUUGUGGAUCUGUUGGUCUCCUUCAUAGCUAUCUAUUAUCUCAUUCACCCAACUGGGCUGCACAACUGAAAGCCCAUCACAAGUUCCUUCCUCAAAUUUCCUGGAUAAUGUAUCCACAGCUAUAUUUUCAAUUCCUUUACGAAACUAUAUUUCGUAACUGAGGCCCA